rnacentral:rRNA from 1 species
AGGAUGGCGACCGGCGCACGGGUGAGUAACACGUAUCCAACCUGCCGAUAACUCGGGGAUAGCCUUUCGAAAGAAAGAUUAAUACCCGAUGGCAUAAUAGAACCGCAUGGUUUGAUUAUUAAAAAAUUUCGGUUUAUCGAUGGGGAUGCGUUCCAUUAGGCAGUUGGUGGGGUAACGGCCCACCAAACCUUCGAUGGAUAGGGGUUCUGAGAGGAAGGUCCCCCACAUUGGAACUGAGACACGGUCCAA